rnacentral:tRNA from 3 species
GGGCAGUUAGCUCAGUUGGUUGAGCAUCGCCCUUACAAGGCGGGGGCCGGGGGUUCGAGUCCCUCACUGCCCACCA